CCAAAAUAAAAACUAAUCAAAGAAAUCUAAAGCGUUCAUGAUAUUCUAAAUAACAUAAAUAAUCAAAACUUAAAAUAUGAAAUUAAUCCGACUAGUGGGCCCCGAUCAUGAGAUCCCAUGAUGGGCUUUACUUGAUUAUCAGGCCCACUCCAAGGACCCAAAACUCCGUCUUCUAAUUAGGGGGCCCUCUCUGGACGUCGUUAUCGAGCCAGAUCGAUGGUGGGGUCCUCCCUCUCCUUGCGUACGGGUCCUAAACAAUCCUAUAUGAUGAAAUUUAAUGCAAAAUAAACGCGAGUAGACUAAACCCUAAACAUGCAAUGCAUUCCUCUAUAAGAACCCUAAGCUCUGAUACCAAAUUUGAUGCAGGACAUGGAAAUUAAAUAUGAUAUGCAAGAUUUCAGGCUUUAGAUCAUACUAAUUGUAAAACAAACACAAAAAAAUU